ACCCAAAACAGGGCUCUCUCU
rnacentral:miRNA from 1 species